rnacentral:lncRNA from 1 species
AAUUGGUUGAAAAGACCAGGACCUCCCGUCUUUCUGACCCACCAUCUUUUACUUUUCUUCCUUUUUCGCUUUUUUCUUUUUCUUUUUCUUUCUUUCCCUUUGGGGGGUACAGACAAUUAUUGGAGCCCAUCUUUAUCCUUCUUUGACGUGUCCACUCUAGGCCUCAGUUCUAUUGUUCCUCAGUUGCUGACUCAGCUUAGCCCUCUGCUACCCUCCCAUGCCCAAGGGCAUCGACUGCCCGAGAAAGAAA